rnacentral:rRNA from 1 species
UAGGGAAUAUUGCACCAUGGGCGAAAGCCUGAUGCAGCAACGCCGCGUGAGUGAUGAAGGCCUUCGGGUUGUAAAACUCUUUUCAAGGGGAAGAGGAAGGACGGUACCCUUGGAAUAAGCAUCGGCUAACUACGUGCCAGCAGCCGCGGUAACACGUAGGAUGCAAGCGUUAUUCGGAUUUACUGGGCGUAAAGCGCGUGUAGGCGGGUAGGAGAGUUGGAUGUGAAAGCUCCCGGCUUAACUGGGAGAGGUCGUUCAAAACUUCCCACCUAGAGUAUGGUAGAGGAAAAUGGAAUUCCGGGUGUAGUGGUGAAAUGCGUAGAUAUCCGGAGGAACACCAGUGGCGAAAGCGAUUUUCUGGACCAAUACUGACGCUCAGACGCGAAAGCUAGGGUAGCA